GACUAGCGGCGGACGGGUGAGUAACGCGUGGGUAACCUGCCUCAUACAGGGGGAUAACAGUUAGAAAUGACUGCUAAUACCGCAUAAGCGCACAGUGUCACAUGACACAGUGUGAAAACCUCCGGUGGUAUGAGAUGGACCCGCGUCUGAUUAGGUAGUUGGUGAGGUAAUGGCUCACCAAGCCGACGAUCAGUAGCCGACCUGAGAGGGUGACCGGCCACAUUGGGACUGAGACACGGCCCAAACUCCUACGGGAGGCAGCAGGUGGGGAAUAUUGGACAAUGGGGGAAACCCUGAAUGCAGCAACGCCGCGUGAGUGAUGACGGUCUUCGGAUUGUAAAACUCUGUCUUUGGGGACGAUAAUGACGGUACCCAAGGAGGAAGCCACGGCUAACUACGUGCCAGCCGCAGC
rnacentral:rRNA from 1 species